CUGCCCAAAGGAGAGUGCUAGACACUAUGGACCCUUGCUAAAAAUCAUCCACCCUCUGCGGCACCACUGACCUUGGAAUCGUGUAUCCCCAGCUGGAAGGGACCCACAAGGACUAUCAGCUCCAACCAACUGACGGAAGAGUGCUGAAGGGUUCACACUGAAAGUGCUGCAGCCUUCUACAAUUUGUGGUGUUCAUUAUUAUAUUCCCCAUCUCAUAGCAUCAUUAAGAUAAGAGAAGUCCUACAGAGAAUCGUUGCCUUUGGCUGUGGAAUGAGACCCACAACUUCUGGGUACCAGAACAGGUGCUUCUGUUUAACCCACUCAUACUCCAGACCUGAGCAUCACUUCCUCAGAGGUGCCCAGGAGAUCAGCUUGGACUCAUCACUUCUCCACAACGGGUGGAAGAAGGUGGCUCCAGGUGCCCAAACCAUUCGUUUAUCCAAAGACUUCAUCAUGUCUCCCUGCCUGGCUGCUGGGAUGAGGCUUGGGGCAGUUACUGAUGGAGUCCCAUUAGUCUCAACCAUGUUCUCUAUGCAAGCUCCAAAUAUCCCCAUAAGCUACUGAAGCAAUAUUAAGGAGAAUGCUGUAGGGUGAAUGGAACUAGAUGAUCUUAAAGGUCCCUUCCUACCCAAACCAUUCUAUGACACCAUGCUUGCCUUACCCUGCAGUCAUUUUUAUGUAUUGUUUUUUGGCCAUCCAGUAAUGGGCAAGCUAUUUGGUCCAACCCAGGAUACUUGUUCUCAUCAGAGCAGCCAGCACUGACCCCUCUUGUGCCCAAAACUUCCAACCAAGCCACCUACAGAGGACUCGAUGUUACAGGGCAGCUCUGUUGGCUUGGAGAGAUAGCUGAGGAUUUUGGAUGCUAUUCAGACGAAAGCUCAUUCCUGGUAGCACACAUUACAUUUAAUUCACUGCUGCUUUUUCCCAUGAAGCACUUACAAAAACAGCCGUGACAAAAGAUAUCCCAACCCAGCCAUUUCAAAACCCUGCUCUCUCAUUGCUAUUAAAUGAACGUCUGAGAGGCCUGCCUUGUGUAAAGGAAAGAGAACACGGAGACCAGAUCCUCAGGUGGUGUAAGAGGGCAUCCCUCCAAGGGAAUCAAAUGGCUCUCACUGAUUUUUAGCCCAACCAAAUGUCUUUGAAACUCAGCAGAGAAGAUUGCAUUGCUAUUGAUCAGAUACCAGCUAUCACCAACACAGGGAGAGAUUUGUGCUUCUUGGGAUGCAAUAGAACAGGCUCCCAGCCCCUGCUGAGAGAAAUACCAGUUUAAUAAGAGUUGAAACAUACUGUCCACUGAAAGGAAAUGGAAUAAUCAUGCCUGCUGUUGAGAAGCAGGACAUGAUUCCUACGGAGGAGAUGUUGCUUUGUGCAAAGGGGAUUAGCAGUCAGAGUCUGAAUCCCAGCGCUCAGCUUUGGAGGAAGAGCUCCUACCUGUCACAAAUCUCCCUGUACUGGGUACGGCGUCACUUAAAAUAACAUUCAGGCAGCAGCAUCCACACCGAUUUGCCUGAUAAAGCCUUGAUCUGAAUCUUAAUAGGAGCCGACAAUUGUUGUCAUCACAAGU
ensembl:lncRNA